CAGCAGCCACGGGAAAACAGAGGGUGCAAGCGUUAAUCGGAAUUACUGGGCGUAAAGCGCGCGUAGGUGGUUUGUUAAGUUGGAUGUGAAAGCCCCGGGCUCAACCUGGGAACUGCAUCCAAAACUGGCAAGCUAGAGUACGGUAGAGGGUGGUGGAAUUUCCUGUGUAGCGGUGAAAUGCGUAGAUAUAGGAAGGAACACCAGUGGCGAAGGCGACCACCUGGACUGAUACUGACACUGAGGUGCGAAAGCGUGGGGAGCAAACAGGAUUAGAUACCCCCGUAGUCCCUGUCUCUUAUAC
rnacentral:rRNA from 1 species